rnacentral:ncRNA from 1 species
UUAAUAGCCUUGAUGAGGAGAGUAAUAAAAGGGAUUGCUUACAGAGAAAUGAUCAUUUGGUGAAAGAUUGUUGCUUAACUUUUAUGAAAAUCGCCUCUAAGCUGGAUGUUCGAAAAUACAUAGUAGGGCAUCUCGUGUUUUCACGUUAUGAUUUAAUGAGAGAUAAGGUAUAUACUUAUAAUAUGGGUGGUACCACGGCAUGUUCGUCCCUAUU